rnacentral:rRNA from 1 species
UACGUAGGGUGCAAGCGUUUGUCCGGAAUUAUUGGGCGUAAAGAGCUCGUAGGCGGUUUGUCGCGUCUGCUGUGAAAACCCGAGGCUUAACCUCGGGCCUGCAGUCGAUACGGGCAGACUAGAGUUCGGUAGGGGAGACUGGAAUUCCUGGUGUAGCGGUGAAAUGCGCAGAUAUCAGGAGGAACACCGGUGGCGAAGGCGGGUCUCUGGGCCGAUACUGACGUGAGGAGCGAAAGCGUAGGGAGCGAACAGG